rnacentral:rRNA from 1 species
UACGGGGGGGGCAAGCGUUGUUCGGAAUUACUGGGCGUAAAGGGCUCGUAGGCGGCCAACUAAGUCGGACGUGAAAUCCCUCGGCUUAACCGGGGAACUGCGUCCGAUACUGGAUGGCUUGAGUUCGGGAGAGGGAUGCGGAAUUCCAGGUGUAGCGGUGAAAUGCGUAGAUAUCUGGAGGAACACCCGUGGCGAAGGCGGCUCUCUGGGACGGUACUGACGCUGAGACGCGAAAGCGUGGGGAGCGAACAGG